AAGGCAUCCAACCCCCCACUGGAAGCUGCAGCCAGCGUCCUCCUCGAGGCGCAGGCCAUCGACAUCCAGAUCUCGUCUCCGCUCUCCACUCACCGGCCGGCCGGCCGACUGCCGUGUGAAUGCUCUUAUUUAAAGAGCACUGCACCACAUUACGUAUCUGCAAAUGGAGUACGAAAUUAGUACUGGACACAAUGCUCUGGAGCGCAUGUUAAUUGAUGGAAGUACGGAGCCAAUGGAUCUGCCGUUAUCACUUUUAGAAGACAUCACAAAUUGUUUCUCUGACGAUCAGCAAAUCGGCAGUGGCGGGUUUGCAUUGGUCUAUAAGGUAUGGUCUAUAAGGUACACAACUCUAAUAAGCUUCCAUCUAAUCACAAUUGGUCUAAAAACUAAACUGGCAUAUGCUCACGUGACAUCAGUCACACCGCCACAAGCCCAAAAAGGUUUGCAAUGACAAUACUUGUUUGUGACCGCAAGGAAUGGUCGGAAAUGAGAUAGUUGCUGUGAAGAGGCUAUCCAGGAAUAUGCAUGAGAGUAAAUUCCACAAAGAGGUUGAGUGCUUGAUGAAGGCCAAGCACAAAAACAUAGUGCGCUUUUUAGGAUAUUGUUCUGACACGCAAGGGAAAAUUAUGGUCUAUGAGGGGAAGAUGGUCAUGGCAGAUAUACGAAAUUGGUUGCUCUGUUUUGAGUAUGUACCCAACAGCAGUCUUGAUAAGUAUAUUACUGAUGCAUCUCAUGGACUUGAUUGGAGGGAGUGUUUUCAGAUAAUUAAGGAAACAUGUGACGGUCUAUGUCAUCUUCAUGAGAAGCGCAUUUUGCACUUAGAUUUGAAACCCGCUAAUAUUCUAAUAGAUGAUCACAUGGUACCCACGUUUGUACUUCAAACCUUUGUGGAUCACUCGGAUAUUUGGCACCUGAGUUCUAUAGUGGGCAAAUCACAUUUGUAUCGGACAUAUAUAGUCUUGGCGUUAUAAUCCUGGAGAUACUGAUUGGACAAAAGGGUUACUCCGAAGAUGAGAAUGUAAGAAUACUUUAAUCAUUUUCUCCAAGUUAAAGCAUAAAAUAAUAAGUAAAAAAUAUCACCCUCUUAACAAUAUUACCCUCUAACUUGAUGAAUUAGAAAUGACAUUCCUUCCUUUUCUAGACUUGAGAGUACUGAAUGAGAAAUACUAGUCUAGAAAAGUAGAACAUAUGAAUUAGCAAUAUUACUCUACAUAAUUAAUGAACAUCUAUGAUUAGAUUGUUUAAGUUGUAUGUGAAAAAUUAGAAAUACAUACUCCCAACCGUGUGUGUCUAUAUAUCUAUAGUUUCAUCUUCUAACCACAUUUCUUUUAUUAAUUCCUCCUCAUCCUUAUAACUUUCUAAUAAUAACUUAUUAUUGAUAUCCCAUUGCUCUUCUUCACUAACAACUUCUUCUUUUUGAACAAUAUUCUUAUCUUUAUUAUUAUUAUUAUUAUUAUUAUUAUUAUUAUUAUUAUUAAUGAUAGCAUUUUAUUAAUAAUAGCAUUUGCUUUUCUUUCUGUGGAUGCUAUAAUUUUAUCUUCCAUGGUUGAACUACUAGUAGCAAACUUUUUAUCAUUUUUUAGUUUCUUUAACCUUGCAAUUUCUCUAAUUAUAAAUAGCUCUCUUUCUCUUAUUUUAGGCCAAUCAUUUGUCAUAGAAUGACUAUAUUCCAAUUCAAUAUGCUUUAGUUUCUUUUCCCAAUGAUUUAUUUCAUCAUCUAAAUUAGCAUUUUCCAUGCAUUCAGAUACACCUUUAUUUUUAUCAUCAUUAAUUUCUGAUUCUGACAUAAAAGAUUCAGAGUCUUCUAUUGAUACAGAUUUAUAAUUCAUAAAUCGAAUACUGCUACUUCCUUCACAAUUUUGAUAGCUUAUGUAGUUUUCAGGUUGCCUUAAUUCUUUUUUUUAUUAAUUCACCUAUCUUCCAUUCUUCUCUCGCUCUUUCUUCAGGGCCAAUUUUAGGAGGAUUCAUAAAUUUAAUACAUUUUGAUUGCAUACUAUCAAUUACGUCAUUCACAUUCACUCUAUAUCUGGAGCUACUUCUGUUAGUGAGCCUUCUUAUAAAUUCUAUACUUACUAACAAGUUUGUUCCUUUAAAAUCUUCGUACCCUUUAGUUUGGAAACCAAAACUCAUUUUUUUCAAUAAAUUCUUUUACAGGCAUCAAUAAAUAUAUAGGUUAUUAAUCUGUUUUUAUUCAUGUCUCCUUCGAAAAAUCAUAAUGCUGCUUUGUCUAGUGAUUCUCAUCUUCUAGCUAAUAAUGUUAUUAAAACCUUAGCACCUAGCAUCUUCCUUGUCAUACCUUUAAUUCCUACAAUAUACAUACCUUGAUGAAUAUAUUUAUAACCACAAUAUCUUAGUUCAUUUUCAAUAUUCUUGCUUACAAUUCUUAAAUCUACUGGGUGUGUUAACACACUUAAUUCUACUUCUCUGGAUAUUUUAUAUAGACCAUUUUUACUCUCAAACAUACCCAUGUGGUAUACUUGUUGCGGCUUUAUUGAGUAUCUUUCUGAUAUCUUUCUAGAUCUCUUUGUAUAUCAAUAACUUCUUCAAUGCUAUCAAUAUCAUCCGCUUUGCAUGAUAAUCUAUGCUUCAUGGCUUGUCUUGAAUCUUGCCUUACUACUUGGAGUGUUUUGUCUUUUUCAAAGGAAGCCUUUAGAUAUGACCAUUUUUCUGAAUUAAUAUUUCUAGCAGAGGCAACUAUUCCGGAUAAUGAAAGCACAAUUUCUUUGUUGCUUUGAACACUAUUUAGUUUAUCUAAAAUCUGGAUUAAUAGAUGGAGCAUGAUGUUAUUUUGUCUUAUUAUAACUUUGGAAUCUUUCUUUGGGGAAUCGUGAUCAAAGAAUCCGACAGGAGGUGACAGAUAUUUAGCUACUUCGUUUAAUGCUUGAGUAUAUUCACUCGUAUAAUUAUGAGAUAAUAAAAGUUUUAACCUUUUGCACCAACUUUUUUAUUUCAAGUAUAUCUUGUCUUGAUUCAGUGCGUGGGACUGACUCUUUGCCUUUACUUAGGUAAAGGCCUAUUGAUAACACUUCCUCUUUAAUAUAAUCGUUAUUCUUGUAAACUGUAUUUUGUCUUGCUUUUGCUUCCUCUAGCUUAUGUAAAGUUAGAUCGAUUUUAUUAUUCAACCCUGAAUACUUAUCCGCAAGUUUUUGGUAUUCUUUCAAUAAACUUUUAAAUUUUUGGUCUAAAUUAUCUUGUCUUUUUUCCCGAGAUAUGUAAAAGUUAUAUAUCAAAUCAAUGACUGUAUUUAACUGCCUAUGAGAUGUAUGCCAGAUAUGCUCUUCAGAGGGAUUUAUUCUACACCUUAUAUUUAUAUUUUUCUUAGUAUUUAUUACUUUACCUGCGCUAACUUGUAAGUUUAAAUAUUUUAACCUUUCAAUGGUUAAACACUGGACCUGAUACUAGCAAUAUAGGGAAUAAAGUUCUUUAUUCUCAGAUUCUAAUUUAUAUUAACUCAGAUUUUAAUUAGGUUAAUAUGUGAUUAGGUGAAAGUGGUAGACAACACACACUUUUUAUCUUGAAUAGUAUUUAAUAUUCACUAGAUAGGGCACUAUUCACAAAAGUGAUUUACUAUUCAAUACACUAUUUGGAACAGUAUUUCACUAUUCACAGCAAUAUUUAAUUUAAUGUGAUUACCUUCACGUUCUAAUUAUUUCUUUAAUGCAGGAUCUAUUAUGGGCUGACGAGGCCAACAAUUCGUCCGACGGUGUGCGCAGAGUUCCAUCCGAAGGGUACACUUCUCUACGGCCACAAAGUUCUCAUUCAAACGUCAUUCUGGGCUACAUAGAGAACUAUACACGCAGAGGUUUCUCCUAUAUGAUCCCUAGCAUAAGAACUCGUCCCAUAAAUUCAUAAAUAAAAAUACCAAGUGAAACCAAAAAACUUCAUCAUUUCCACAACAUAAUUUACAUAUGGCUUUCUCUUUCGGGAGGCCCCGAAGGGAUUACACAAGCUAAAGAAAAUUACCUUCUAACUACCUUCUUGAGCCUUACAAAUGCUUUAGAUAUUGUGGCUCUUAUUACAUGAUGAGGAACAACAACUACUACUACUGAGCAAUGAGCUUGCUAGCUGGGUCGUAGCUCUUGCUCUAUCGGUGGCUGUUGGUACUUCUCCGUUUGGUGUUAUGUCUCUCUUCACAACAAAUGUCUUCUUUUAUAGGCGAGAGAGCAGCUCUCUGGAUGGCUUCCGAGAGAAUGCACCUCUUUAUUUUAUAUGUAGUAGCGAUGCAUGCGUAUCCCUCUAGGUGAUGGAUAAGAGCGAGAGAUAGUGCCCCGACAAACUUCAAUCUUCAGGAAUUUAUCAAAUCUUUGCUUUGUUCACGUGGGCAUUGUCUCUCCGUGAAUAGUUGUCUCGCUUUUGUGUACCAGUCUUUGGUUUUCGGCCAUACAGAUCUUUAUGCGAUUAGCCUUCAUAGCUUCUUCUGCCUUCAAAAUCCUUGUGCCAGUGUAUGCGUACAUACAUGUCAAGGCUGCUUAAAAUUUCAACAUUGCUUAUUCAUUUAUUUUUAAUUUAAUUUAACUUGCUUAAAUAUUCAACAUUGCUUAUUCAAUUUUUUUUAAUACAUGGGGUCUUCCCCGCCGAUAUAAUUGAUAAUACCUUAUCAAUAUUUAAAAUAUCUAAUUUUGGAAUUUCUGUCAAUAUUCGGGUAUAGGUUAUCCGCGCCCGAAUAAUUGAUAGCAAUAUCAAUAUAUGCAAUUUGGGCUUUAUUCAGGCUGCUGCCCAUGCCCUGCUAUGUCCAUAUUAUCAUCAUUUAAUAGACUGAAAUCAUA